rnacentral:RNase_P_RNA from 1 species
ACAGUGCUUCGGCUUGUCGCUGGUCUGUUAACAGGCGAGAGGAAAGUCCGGGCAGCAUAAGACGCUCCACUUCCGAAAGUAGAAGCUAUUGGUGACAAUAGGAGACGCAGAAGAGAAUAACCGCCUCGUUAAUCCUCAAGAACCCACAUCGUGGAAGCAUUCAGGAGAGGUAAGGGUGAGAAGGUGGUGUAAGAGACUACCAGGCACAGGGUGAUCUGUGUGCUGUGCUAUCUGGAGGCUGCAAGUUCAUGUAUACCGUCGUCUGAGGGUUGUCUGCCCGAUGGUCGUCCCCCUGGGAUCGGCAUCGACGGAGGGUAGAACGCUAGAGCUGCAGGGUGACUUGCAGAGUAGAUAAAUGACAGGCACUGACAUUGUCAGGACAGAACCCGGCUUAUAGGGGCACUGUUUCA